GAAGGUAUAGCUCAAGUGGUAGAGCACACGCUCAAUGUGUACAAGGUCCUGGGUUCAAUCCCCAGUACCUCCA
rnacentral:tRNA from 1 species